GGGAAGGGGCCCAAUUCCUCUUGACUGAUUCUAAAGCUCAUAGGGGGAUUCCAACUCACAGCUAGCCCUCUGUACUAAGGAACCAGACGAAUCUUGACCUCCCAGGGAACCUAGACCUGGGAAGGCUGAACUUGCUAUUUGAGGGUCAAGUCUACUCCCUGAAGGUGGAGUGCUGGAUAUUUUGAUGGGGACAAGGAGGGACAAUAGAUCAACCUCAGCAAAGGCUGGUAAGCCUGGGCAAGGUUCCACAGGGAUGGAUCUUCCUAAGGGGUGGGGGGGCUUCCCAGUUCCUAGAAAAUGGCGGUGCGCGCAGACUGCCUCCCUCCUCUUCAUUGUAGCUUGAUCCUGCGCAGUGACCGUUCCUAUAAAAGAAAAAAAAAAAUCAGAAGAAACUUGAUACAUAGGAAGACAAAACAGCAGAGAAAUAAGACAAAGUUAAAAUCACAAAAUGUAAUUGGCAGCACAUCUGUUUUCCAAAGAUAUUUACAUAAUUACUCCCAUUCUCACAAGAAUUCUGGAUUAGGGCAUUAUGAUUGUGUCACUUUCCAGUUGAGCGGGCAUGCCCACAAAGGGUAAAGUGUCUUUCCCAUGAUCACACAGCUUAGAUGGAAGACUUGGGACUUGACAAGGGGAACUUCUGACCCCAGAUCUGGGUUCCACCAGCCCCAACCCUUCAUCAGUUACCAUAGGGAGGGAAGGGAGAAAUGGGAGCGAGGCGGCAGCGAGCCCAGGAGGAAAAUACCCACACGGAAAGAGUCAGGCCUGGGAGGGGCCGGACCGGGGCACAAAUGCUGGAGGUUUCAGAGAUGGGCUGGCGCUGGCGAAGGCAGGUCUGCCAGUGACGUAUUUGUCCUGUGGGUCCUGGGCUCUUUCGUGGCACGCAGGGCACUCUCCUUCCUGGGAUGGGAGAAUGGAAUUCUUCUUCCGUGAGAGAGAAAAUACGGAGGUGAAGAAGAGCAGAAUGGGCGAGUACCAGACUGCAGCUGCAGCCAAGCCAGGGAAGAGGCUAAAGAGGGUCCUCGGCGGCUCCCGCAGGACAUUCCCUCCCCAGCCGGUCGGGAAGCUCCACACCUAGGCGAGGACGGGCAGCAGCGGCCCUGGGAAGGCUUCCGUGGAAACUUCCAAAACCACCUUGCCAGAUAAGAAAACUGAGACACAGAAAAGUCACACAAGAUUAUCGAGGUCAACACAGAGAACAGUGGAACCUGCACCUGACCCCAGGCAGGCGGAACCUUCAUGACCACACCACACCACCACAGGGAACAGGCAGGGAAAACAAUGGGUCUAGCAGGACAAAAGUGACAUUUCCCAGAGUUUCUUGCUGUUUGGAUCUGGCUGCAGUUUCAGUUUUGCCAAGAAGAGGCAUUUCCAUGAGCUCUGGACAGUGGCAGAGAGGCAGAGGUGCUCCACUGCAGUGUGCUGGAUGGUCCACGGGCUCCUGCCAAUGUGAGGAUUUGCAGCAACUGGUAUAUCCAUGGUCUUGUCACCAGCUUCCUGAAUUCGGGGCAGCUGGAGCCACACUAGUGGUCCUUCCUUGCAGGGGCAGCAGCUGUCUCCUGGUCUCAGAAUC
ensembl:lncRNA LINC00951 long intergenic non-protein coding RNA 951